CACAUGCGCACUGGCCGGUGGAUCCCUCUCUGACCACCACAGACGAUCUUCGGAGUUGUGUGCUUGUGUGUAGUGUGUGCGCUCCACUCCCGCUGGCUGCUAUGACCUAGCUACCGGACGACACUUUCAGUUUUUCCGCGCUGACCCUUCCGCCUCAAACUGCAGUCCCCACACUCAACGUUACAGUUGUUUAUGGUCUCAUUACCGCCACUUUUUCAUCGUAGCUGCUGGCCUCCGGGGCUAGCUGGCUAGCAGAGAGGGGGUGACGGAGUGGAGCCAGCUGGUCGGACAGAGAAACGGCAGCGUUAGCAAACAAGCUAAUUAGCGAGAAAGACUCAGCCUGGAUUAUUGCCUUUAAUCAAAAGAGAGCACAGGUCUGCGGCUUCACCCACUGCGGCAAAAAUGAAGAUAACUGUGGAUUUCGAGGAGUGUUUGAAGGACUCCCCAAGGUUCAGAGCCACCAUAGAGGAAGUGGAGGGGGAUGUGUGCGAGUUGGAAUCCAAGCUUGACAAAUUGGUGAAAUUGUGCAUCGGGAUGAUUGAUGCUGGAAAAGCCUACAACGCAGCUAACAAACAGUUUGUUAGUGGGAUCCGGGAGCUUGCACAGCAGUCUGCCAAAGAUGAGGUCAUUGAGUCCAGUCUCACCAAGUUUGCCGAGAGUCUGCAGGAGAUGAUCAACUAUCACACGAUAUUAUUCGAUCAGGCCCAGAGAUCAAUCAAGAUGCAGCUUCAAACCUUUGUCAAAGAUGACCUGCGUAAGUUCAAAGAAGCCAAGAAGCAAUUUGACAAAGUGAGCGAGGAAAAGGAGACGGCGCUGAGCAAGAAUGCCGCAGCUCCCCGUAACAAGCAGCACGAGGUGGAGGAGGCCACCAACAUCCUCACUGCCACGCGCAAGUGCUUCCGGCACAUUGUCCUCGACUACGUCUUACAGAUAAACGUGCUACAGUCCAAGAGAAGGUCGGAGAUCCUAAAAUCAAUGCUGUCUUUCAUGUACGCCCAUCUGACGUUUUUCCACCAAGGUUAUGACCUCUUCAGUGAACUGCAGCCUCUUAUGAAACAGCUGGGAGGGCAGUUGGACCAGCUGGUGGUGGAUGCUGCCAAAGAGAAGAGGGACAUGGAGCAGAAGCACUCCACCAUCCAACAAAAGGAUUUCUCGAAUGACGACACAAAGCUGGAGUACAAUGUGGAUACAGACAACGGCAUCGCCAUGGAGGGUUAUCUGUUUAAGAGGGCCAGCAAUGCCUUCAAGACAUGGAAUAGGCGCUGGUUCACCAUCCAAAACAAUCAGCUGGUUUACCAGAAGAAAUUUAAGGACAACCCUACAGUGGUGGUAGAAGACCUGAGGCUAUGCACAGUCAAACACUGCGAGGACAUAGAGCGUCGCUUCUGCUUUGAAGUCGUGUCACCCACCAAGAGCUGUAUGAUGCAGGCAGACUCAGAGAAGCUGCGACAGGCUUGGAUCAAAGCUGUCCAGAACAGCAUCGCCACCGCCUUCCGCGACAAGGGAGAUGACAGUGAGCUGGAUAGGAAGUCGUCCACAUCAACAGGGAGCCUGGACUCUGGAGGGGAGCCAAAGGAGAGAUCACUGAAAGGAGAGAGUGCCCUGCAGAAAGUCCUGGCCAUCCCAGGCAAUGCUUGCUGCUGCGACUGUGGGCAGCCGGAGCCCCGCUGGGCCAGCAUCAACCUGGGCAUCACCCUGUGUAUACAGUGCUCUGGCAUCCACAGGAGUCUGGGAGUGCAUUUCUCCAAGGUUCGUUCUUUGACUUUGGACACUUGGGAACCAGAACUGCUAAAGUUAAUGUGUGAACUGGGCAACAAAGUAAUCAACCAGAUCUAUGAAGCUCGGCGAGAGGAGCUUGGAGCAAGAAAACCACAGCCGGGAGAUCCGAGGCACGAGGUGGAGGCCUACAUCAAAGCCAAGUAUGUGGAUCGUCGAUUUGUACGCCGGCCAUCAGACGAGGAGCUUCGCAGCAAAGUGGUCUCUCUGAGCAAACAGGAGAAGAGGCUGAGCGGUAACUCUGAGCACAUGCCACCAAAAGCGCCUCCACCCACACCAAAACUUCGACCUGGUUCGAAUGCUUCAGGGCAGUCAGCUGCUGCCAGUGGUGCCGAGGCCCGCCGGGACUCUCUCUUCUGUCCUGACGAGCUUGACUCACUCUUCUCCUACUUUGACACCUCCUCCAAGCUCAGGAGCAUAAAAAGUGCAGACAGCGGCAUCCAGAACAGUGCUGAUGGGAGCAGGGAGAUGCUGGCCACCACCCCCUCCAAUAACAGCCUGGCAGAUGCAGAACCCGCUGAGACUCCACCCAUGCCCAUGCCCGCCACACUGCCUCCUCCGUCACCCUGUAAGGAGAUGGUUUUCUAUGAGCCCAAGGAGUACAGCCCGGGUCUGCAGCUCUACUGGGCGUCCUGCGCCCGCAGCCUGCCGGACAUGGCAGAGGCGCUAGCCCACGGAGCCGAGGUCAACUGGGUCAAUACGGAGGAGGAAAAGAGGACCCCGCUGAUCAUGGCAGUGCAGGGGGGGUCUCUGGUCACCUGUGAGUUUCUGCUCCAAAAUGCAGCGAAUGUGAACCAACAGGACGCUCAGGGCCGAGGACCCCUCCAUCAUGCCACCAUGCUGGGACACACGGGGCAAGUGUGUUUAUUCUUGAAACGAGGAGCGAAUCAAAAUGCUACAGACAUUGAGGAGAAAACACCCCUGUCCAUAGCGGUGGAGGCGGCCAACGCUGACAUUGUCACGCUGUUGCGACUAGCCAAGAUGAACGAGGAGAUGCGGGAGGCGGAGGGGCCCUACAGCCAGUCAGGUCAAUAUAACUCCAACAGCCCCACCGAGAUGCAGUACAGGAAGUGCAUGCAGGAGUUUAUUAGCUUGCAGCUGGAUGAAUCUGAAUAACCAGCCGCUGCCGUCAGCGUGUUGAGCCAACGACGCUUAGGAAACGUAAAGCUCAAGUGUCGGAGUUGGGGUCAGCUGACUUAAAAGAGCACCACCCCCGAUCAUCCAUUCUCAGGGGUAUUGUUAAAAAUUUGGGCGAUUUCUUUAUUGAGAGGAAUUUAAUCCACUGGCUUAUUUAAGUGAACUGAGCCUAACUCUGCCAGCUGUGCUCGCCUAACUUCCUGCCAGGUGCUCCACCAGCUCUGCACCGUGUCCCUCAGCGGCAGGGUUAAAGCCAUCGACUCUGGGCAGUAUUAGAGUUUUUGUUCCAAACUGGAACAUCCACCUUUUCCAUUUAAGUGACUGUUACUCAUGUCAAGUUACUGAUAGCACAAAAAUAUUUUUCCUCGGUUUUAGAGGUGAUUAGAAAGUAGGUUUUUGUUUUGGUGUUUUGAUUAAAGUAAUUGUUAUUUUUAAAUUCCUGUUGUGUUUCUGCCAGCAGUCACAGUAUCUUUGCAAAAAAAUAAAUAUAUAUAUAUAUAUGUAUAAAUAUAUAUGUAUAUAAAUAUAAAUAAAUAACUCUGCCCGGUAACUGCCACCAGUAUCCAGUGACACUCAGACCUCAGAGGGAGGGCAGUUUCUACUACAGUAUCCGGCAAUAAUCGAGACUUUUUGAAUGAUACUUUUUAAAAUCGUCUUGAGAGACGUGGCGCGUGUCUGUAAUCUUUUUCCUUUCCAACUGACCUUUCAGAAGUAAUUUAUGCACCUUCCUGUUAAUGGUUAUGCAACUGCUGUACCUUUUCCCAUGACUGUAUGGUUCUUAUUUGAAGUCUUAACUACUUGUCAAGGCCUGUUUACUAUUUAAUGACGCAUCUUUCUGGUGUUACAUGACAGAUAGUCUAUUUUAGAGCAGUUUUCUUUUAUAGAGAUGACUCUAGUAAGUCUAGGUAUUCUUACUGUACAUGCUGUAAAUGAUGUUUUUAGAGUGACUCUGGUUGCACAGCAGUAAGUGCCAUGAGGACUCUUGUGUUCGCAUACUUUUCUUUUGAGUGUCUUGGUUGUAGUGUGCUUGCUCAUUGGAAAUCAUGGGAAAUCCAGAAUUGUAAGACAAAAGGACUUUUAGGGCCCUUGCACUAAUCGUCCUGAAUGUUAGUGGAUUUGAAGAUGGUACAUUUCAAGCAGCAAUAGUGCAAUAGUCUAGAAACGUAUCCACAUGUAACCAUGUAUAGCUUUUGAUCACCUGCUUGUCCUGCUUAUAUUCAUGUUAAUCAUUAUGGGAGCUUUAUUAUUUAAAAAAAACGACAAAGAAAUUGAAAAAAAUCUGGGUAUUCAAAAUGAAUGUAGACGGAGAGGAGGGUGAGGUUUGCUGACAGGCAAUGAAUGAUUGAACUGUACCCCAGUUUCAUCCCACAUCUUCUCUCUCAUGCUGCCCCCGACUGCUCGGAGGGCACCAAAGCACUUUGAUGAAACGGUCACUGAAAGAGCAGCGCCCCCUGCUGCGGGCAGAGCGUCAAUGCGACGUUUCUAAUCGCUGAUUUGUGUGUGGAUGUGCCUGGAUGUUAGAGAUCGGUGAUUAUGUUUUACAGAUGAAGUUCUCCUGGUGUUUAGUAGUUCUCUAUGAAAUGUUUGUGUGCGAUUGUGGAGCAAAAGGAUUUGUUCAUUUAUGUGUGCCGACACACAGGAAGGGGAGGGCUGAGCUCAUUUCUUCUCGAAGAACGGAGCGUUUACACUAAGGGCGAAGUGCACAUCUGGAGGAAGAUGCACUGUUAGUAGCUGUUUGGACCUUACAACAAAUAACUAGAAGUUCUUUUGUCUUGUUGUUGUUUAUUUAAUGGUUAUUGAUGGUUAUUGAUAUUGAGACUGAUUUAGAAACUGCUGCUGAUGCCGAACAGGUCAGCAGCAGGUUUGUUAGCAGUGAUUAUGACAGGAUGUUUGUGUUGAGCAGAAAAGGAGAUUUAAAAACAUGUUUGGUGCUCCAGCAUCUCUUCAUCAGCACCCUCCAAUCAGUUGAUGAGUGCUGAGAGUGAUGAGGGAUAUUCAGGGUUAAUGAAUGUGAGGGAGAGGUGACCUCAUCAGUCCUCUGUUUCUUUUUUUUUCUCUUUAAAAAAGUUCUCUUGACUCGAGUGUUUGAAGUGCAGAGCCGUGGUUCUCGGUUUAAUAUUUCUUGGCAUUUAAAUGAUUUUUAAAAAUAAUUUUAAGAUGUUUUUAAAUACUAUUCUUUUACAACAUCAUGUCGUGUUCUUAAAAAACCCCAAAACGAGAAAUUUACCCUUAAAAGUGACUGAGAACCACUGAUCUGAUUAAGGUGGAAUUUUUCCUCUCUUCCUCCUAACACACUCUCACGUUCUCUUUUCUGUAAAUCUGUUCUGUCACUUUUUGUAUUUUGCUUUUCUCACUCUCCUCCCCAGAGUUUGUGCCUUUCUUCUUUUCUCUCUUUUCUUUGGGGUGCUGAGGCCAACACAACUGUAUUUUUGUACAUAAACUCCUGCACUUUAAACACAAUACAGUUGUUGAUGAAACAAACUUGCUGUCUGUGGGCUGUCUUUUCUCUCCGAGUCUGUGUCCAGUUGCUAACGAGGGCCUCGCUGACCGUUUCCUCAAACAUUUGCCUCUUUGCAUCUUCUGUCCUUCGCCGCUUUUCUCCCCUCUACAUUGUUCUGUUUCAUAUUUCGCAACCACGCCAGCACUCUUAACAGGAGAUGAAACGUACCAGGACAUUUUCCAGGAUUUCACCCACAUGGCCUCCAAUGACCCAGAAAAGCUGAACCGCUACUAGCAGUACGAGCGCCGUCCACCCGUGGUCAGAAGGGCUGUUUUCACAAAAACAAAAGCUGGAAUGAUGUCCACUUCCCAUUCACACUCAUUCGGAAAUGGCCACAUCAAAGCCAGCGACCGUAUCUAAUGUAGCCAAAGCUCCCUUUCAUCAGUUCAUUUUCAGCAAGGCGAGUGCUUCGUUCAAGUGAAGGGGAGCUUCGACAAUGGAUUAUUUUUUUUCAAACUGUGCAUGUUAAUAGGAUGUAUAACAGUAAGUAAAUGGUACAGUGUUAAAGCCUUUGGAAGGAUUCACAUAGUCUUAAAUCAAAUGAUAAUUACACUCAGACUGAAUGUAGAGCUGCCGUCAAGGCUGUCGCUUACUUUGACUGAGUUAAAUGUUUGCUGUCACACUUUGUGACGGUGAAGGACAGUUAUUGUUUUUUUAAUAAAGUUAAAGGUGUGGUGCAUCAGAGCUGCACAGAGAAGUAAGCCCAUGGCAGACUUUUAAAGGCUCUGUUUCAUGCUUUUUGUUAAGUGCUUCCUCCUUUCACUGGGACUCUCUUAAUGAGCCACAGCAUUUUUUUUAAUGUAAGUUUUUCUUUAGAGAAUCAUCAGCAAGUUCAUAAGUGUCCGAAUGAUUUUAUGUUAUGGCUUUGAUGUGUACAGUGAUCUCUGACAGCAGUAAACCCAGAAUGAAUUCACAUGUAAGGUUAAAUAGUUGAUUUGACUUGAUUUUUAAAUGCUUUUCUUUUUUAGAAAUGUAAUUUCUCACAAGUACCUGCAGUGGUUUCAAAAACCAUCAGUCAUUGGGAUGAUUUAACUGUGUAGAUACAGGUAACGCUUUAUUUUAUGGGUCGAUAAUUUUCCAGGUGUUUGUCGGUGUGACAGUGUAAAGCUGUUUUUAUUGUAAAGGCAUUUUCUCAGAGUAGAUCCAUGAAAACAAAAAGAAAAAAGUUAAUGCUGGUCAAACCAGUCGAGUGGUUCAACAUUCACAGCAGCUCGUCAGAAAAACAAAACAACCUCCUGCUGUUGUAAACCAGUCGGCUGUCAGUCAUUAUAAAAGCCCUUUAAUAAGACGGCAGCAGCGCUCGGUAAAAUGUCUUUUAUAGCUUAGCAGUUGUCUGAAACGUAUCUAAUGCUGCAGUCACACGAAAAACAGUGGCUGUACCAAAAUGUUGCUGCGACUGUGUGAAACUUGUCUUUGAAAUAGUUGUAGCUUUGAGGACGGGAAGCACUAAGAUGCUGGAGUCAGUCUGAUAUCAGUUUGUGAUUAAAUGGGGUCAUGUUGGCAGUUGCAUGAAAUCGCUUACAUUUGGAGCAGUAAUUCUUUCAUAAAUAAUGAUGUAGUUGCUGCAGGACGGCAAUUUAACUGCGAAAUGACACAGGUGCUCAGCAGCCUUGCUUUGAUAUAGGAAUAUAACCACGGUACAACCGGUUAACGACCAGGUGAGUCAAGUUUCCUAUUGUAAAGAUGUGCAUCACAGACAAGUCGCCCUCAUUGGUGCAGACUGACUGUAUCAACUAGAAAAGCAGUUAUUUGCAAACCCUCAGCAAACUGUCUGAGAGUGAUUGCAGUCAGUCCGUGUCCCGACUUUCUUUGGAGACGCGUUCCCUCCCUCGAGGUAACCUGCGCCAAAGUGGUCACCCUAAAGGUUGAGGGUACUGCAUGCUUGGUCUUUGACACCAAAAAAUUCAGUGCAAUCAACAUGCAACUGCUGGCUUUGUUUUUUCCUCGUUGCGAGGUUGGUGUUCGGUUUGGUUGCUAGUGAAAAAUGUGAAUUCUCUGACCGGCUGACGAGUUGUUGUUGGCGGUCCCAAAGACAGUCUCGACUGUGCAUCAGAUAGCUCCUUGCAGUUGCUUUGGUUGCUAUUAGAUUGCAAUUAUCGCCUAUACUUUGCAUGGGCGGUGCAUAGUCAUCUGCAAACAGCGCUGAGUUUUAGUGAAGCUCGAAAAAGUGCGACACAAACUAGAUAUGGAAGUUGUGCCUUACCACUGACUUAUUAUAAUACUUUGAACUGUCUCAUUUCAUUAUCAAGAUUUACUACCAUUUAAAAAGUACUCAGCAUCUUCUGUGCAGACUUCGACAACUGUGGCAAUCUGCUAGCAACCAAAGCAACUUUAUAUAAUAUGCAUUUGUGAUCAAUUUCGACUCGCAACUGCCAGAAACCUCUCGCCAACUCAUUGGGAAGUACACAUUUCCCCCUGACAGUGUUACUAAAAAGCAGCAGACUACUAAAAAUUCUGAAAAUGAGCAUCUUCUUAUUUCAUGGAUGAAUCUAUAAGCAAUAUCAGUGCUUUUCAUUCCAAUUAAUCUGCUGUGUGUGCGUGUUUAGACCAGCUGAAUUCAGCACUGGAGUGCUGUUUCCUGCCUCUAACAAUAUACAGAAGAUGAUUAUUAAAUAUAAAUCCACUGAAUGGUUUUCGCUGAAGCACAGAGGCCAAGGUUUACUCAGACAUGUAAAUGAAAUCAAUCGGAGGUUCAGCAGCUGCACACAGUCUCUCAUUACUAUAAUUAGGAGCAAACUACACCGACCCUUCAAUGAAACUUGUUAGCAGGUUUUUGGGAAUAUAUUUUGAAAAUGACAGACCUAUAAACUCAGAGCGAUGCAGAGUAACCGGAUGUGUUAGUAAACAAUGCACACGCUGUGAGACAUUUGUUGUUUCCGUCCUCUCGUGUGUUGAGCUGAAACAUUAACCUGAUUGAUCCAGUUUAGACGCCUCCGGGUGAGUUCAGUGAAAUCUUCACAUACGACUUCUGCAAAUUCACUGAUGGAAGUUUUGUACUGUGAGUUUCUGUGUUCCUCGCUUCUCCUGCACUUGUCUUCUCUUUGAAAGUUACACGUCAUACAGUAAGAUGUUAAUCGCAGAGGAAACCUGGGGCUGAUGAAACUUGGGAUACAAUUCUUGUACAUUUUGUACAGAUGCUUUUGAAUUCUCCAGAGGACUGAAGUAUAAAGUUAAAGGUACUUGAAUCAUUAAAUAAGCUUUUGUAUAUGCUGUUCUUUGUAUCGUUCAAUAAUUUUAGCCCCUUUUUUAAAUUGCCUGUCUGUACACCAAUAUACAUGUACUGUAUGUUAUACCUGUAAUAUGGAAGGAUUUCAAUACAUACAGACUUGAGGAUUCA